AUGAGCACCAAGAUAAUGGUAACCUACCAGAGGAAGCGUGGGACAUCGCACGCUCGGAGGGCUGAUGGCGCCACUCCGGCGGAGCCUCCUUCUGUUUCUAGCAGUGGGGUUGCCGGCAGCCAAGCCACCAAAGACCAGCCCGAUGCCGACGCUGAUGACGAUGCUCGCUCGAGUCGUGUUUUGGCGUGGUUUGAUAAGAGUGCCAACAUCACAAUAACCCACAAGAGGACGCGUGGUACAAAACUCGCUCAGACAACUGAUAGAGCAACUUUUGAGCUUGCUACUGUUUCUAGCGGUGGGCUUGCCGACAGCGAAGCCCCGGAAGACAGGGCGGACACUGAUAACGACAUGUUCAAUGGAUCUAAUCGUCAACAGGAUGCCUGCAAGCCAAAGCAAGAAAGCUCCAUAGAAGAAACAACUAAGCUAUGUGCCCAUGCAUCAAAGAAAGAACAAAAGGAAAAUCCAUAA
rnacentral:rRNA from 1 species